ACCGCAUAAUAUCACUUGAGGGCAUCUGAGGGUGAUUAAAGCUGAGGCGAUAAGAGAUGGGCAUGCGUGCCAUUAGCUAGUUGGUUGAGGUAACGGCUCACCAAGGCGACGAUGGCUAGGGGUUCUGAGAGGAUGAUCCCCCACACUGGUACUGAGAUACGGACCAGACUCCUACGGGAGGCAGCAGUAGGGAAUAUUGGGCAAUGGACGCAAGUCUGACCCAGCCAUGCCGCGUGCAGGAUGAAGGCCUUCUGGGUUGUAAACUGCUUUUAUCUAGGAAGAAAAAACCCCUGCGGGGGGAACUGACGGUACUAGGUGAAUAAGCACCGGCUAACUCCGUGCCAGCAGCCGCGGUAAUACGGAGGGUGCAAGCGUUGUCCGGAUUUAUUGGGUUUAAAGGGUGC
rnacentral:rRNA from 1 species